UCUGAUGCCGUUUCCCCUUCUUCACACCAGUCGAAACGGUCUGAGUAAAGGCUUAGUGAUUAAUCUCAUUGAUUCACUACCCCACUGCGUCGUCUUCAAUGUUUCUUUGAUCUGAAAGGCGGUGAAUUCUUAUUAUAAAUAUGUGUAAGUGCUUCUCUCCUUAAUCUCAUCUUAUCUUAGUAUCUCUUUUAUUUCAUACUAAUAGAUCUGUGUUAUGGCUAAUUCCAGGAUUUUUUUCUCCGAGUGGGAGGGUUCAUAGCAAGCGGCGGAGCAAGCGGGAGGAGGGCUUAUGGACCAGGCGACGGGCAUAUCAAGAUGGAUAGCCAUGGAACAAGUUACGGAGAGUGUGAAGAGAGAGAUAACAAAGUCGAUUGCUGCAGUUUAAGCUCUCACAUGGGAGGUGAUAGGCUCUCGGAUGUGAGUUUAUAAGAGCUGGAAUUUUUUUUUUGUACGAUAAAUGGAAUGAAGGAUUGGUUUAAGUUGAUUUCUUCGUGCAAAUAGGGAUAGCGCUGGAGUAAGAAACCGAGAGAACGAGAUGGAGAGCAACAGAGUAAGUGACAGAGAUAUUGAGAUGAAGAGCAACGGAGAAGUCGAGAUAGAUAUAGAGACACGAAACAAAUAUUGGCAUCGUUCACGAUUCUUAUGUGAAUGGAGAAGUACGAGGACUACUUGAAGCUCAAAUCAAGAGUAGAGAUCUUACAACAUUCACAACGGCAUUUGCUAGGUGAAGAGAUAGCCGGGAUGGCAGUGGAUGAGCUUGAGCAGCUACAAAUCAAGUAGAUACAUCACUUAGACAGAUAAGAUCCACAAAGG